UACAGAGGGUGCAAGCGUUAAUCGGAAUUACUGGGCGUAAAGCGUGCGUAGACGGUUACAUAAGUCGGGUGUGAAAGCCCCGGGCUCAACCUGGGAAUUGCAUUCGAGACUGCGUAGCUAGGGUGCGGAAGAGGGAAGCGGAAUUUCCGGUGUAGCGGUGAAAUGCGUAGAUAUCUGGAGGAACACCGGUGGCGAAGGCGGCGUCCUGGACCAACACUGACACUGAGGAGCGAAAGCCAGGGGAGCAAACGGG
rnacentral:rRNA from 1 species